rnacentral:lncRNA from 1 species
CUGUUCUUUCGUCCUAUGUAAAAAUUGAAUUGUUUAGCCACGUUUAUGAUGCACGACAGCCUGUUUAAUUUCCGUAGCGUUUUUUUUGAGACACCCUGUAUAUGGCGUUACAGACACUAUUUGGGUUUCACUAAAGCUUGAUUCACACAUAGUCUAUCAAGAUAUGAUGAUCUGGAAACUGAACAGAAGUCAUUGUUAUAUGUUUUUGUCGGAGUUUAUGUUAAUUUCUGAACGGUCACGGUGAUUGAGCUCAUUGUAUUUUCGUAGAAUGAAGUAAUCGUCCAAUAGGGAUAGCUGAGAUGAAACGUGCAACCACAAUGAAUAAUAUUUAAUAAAGUUGAGACAAAGGAUUUGUGCACGGUGAUGUACAGUUCAACAUCAAACAAAAGUCUUCUAUUUUAUGGCUUAGAUGUUUGCCUGGCUUCCAAACCAUCAUAUCUUGACAGACUAUGAUUUACAUGAGUGGAAUAAGCAUAAGCAAGAAUACAAAAGAAUAUUUUACUCUUGGCAAUUGCAAAGACACAAGCGGACAGAAUUUUAUUUUGAAAUGUUUUUGUUUCCCUUACCUUGCAUGUGCUUCGAGGUUUGUGCUCAUCAGAGUAAAGAAUGUUAAUUCUUUUCGUCCUGUACUAGUGUUUGUUGUUCCUUGGCUUUCUUUAAGUCCUUCGCUGCUCCGCUUUCUGAAAUCCCAGCAUUUUUUUUACCUCACGUCGUCAGGCGUACUCAAACCUCAAAGAGUUUUUUGUCAAACAAUCUGUUGCUAUCAAACAAUCUAUCUAUCAAAAUUAAUCUGUCUUGAUUUGCAAGACGAGUAGAAAGUUGCAGUAAUAGUAUAUUUGAAAAAUAAAAUAAACAAGCACAUUGCCAAAUAAUAUACGGCACAUUGUUUAAUGUUGCAUGAUUUGGAUAGCAUGUGUAUUAUGCAUAGAGUAAGGACAGUAAAAAGAAAAAAAAAAGAAAAAAAUUUUAAAAUGUAUAUAAAGAAAUGUGUAAAUGAUCAUCCAAAUUUUUUCGGAACUUGCAAGAAUUGUAUUGAGAUUCGCUUUUCUUGCAAGUAUCCCAUAUAAUCUGGAUUCAAUUUGUCAUAGAUAGAGUAUGUUUUGUGGUUUUCUAUUAGAUGUAAAGUCCUCUAACCGGGACAUUGUAGUUUGGUGAUGGAAUUGUGAGAUGGUUUUCUAUAUAUUUGAAGGUGUUUGUAAUUUAUGAAAAAAUAAAGUAUGUGUGUGUCUUCUGAAGUUACUUAAUAUUGAUUUACUGUAAAGAACUCGUAAAAUUGGAGACUAUAAACUUUAUAUAUUUUUAUUCCAUUCCGUUUUCAAAAUAUUUUAGACUUUUCAUCUUUCUCACAGUUUCUGGAGAAUUUGCAAAUCUGGAAUUUCCAGUAAUAUAAAUGUUAACCAUCUAAAAUGAUUGUAACGUAUGUAUGCAGAGGAAUGUAUGCUAUUGUAGCAAUUACGCUGGUAAUGUAAACUAAUUAGUAAAUACAUUUCUAAUGUUACUAAUUACC